CCUACGGGCGGCAGCAGUGAGGAAUAUUGGUCAAUGGACGAGAGUCUGAACCAGCCAAGUAGCGUGAAGGAUGACUGCCCUAUGGGUUGUAACCUUCUUUUAUAAAGGAAUAAAACGAGGCACGUGUGCCUUUUUGCAUGUACUUUAUGAAUAAGGAUCGGCUAACUCCGUGCCAGCAGCCGCGGUAAUACGGAGGAUCCGAGCGUUAUCCGGAGUUAUUGGGUUUAAAGGGAGCGUAGAUGGGUUGUUAAGUCAGUUGUGAAAGUUUGCGGCUCAACCGUAAAAUUGCAAUUGAUACUGGCAGUCUUGAGUACAGUUGAGGUAGGCGGAAUUCGUGGUGUAGCGGUGAAAUGCUUAGAUAUCACGAAGAACCCCGAUUGCGAAGGCAGCUUACUAAACUGUGACUGACAUUGAUGCUCGAAAGUGUGGGUAUCAAACAGGAUUAGAUACCCGUGUAGUC
rnacentral:rRNA from 1 species